UAAACGGAUGCCCAUCGGUUCAGGCGUUUAGCUGUUAACUAAAAGUUUGUAGGGUCGAAGCCUACCUGUCUAGAAAGGCUUUAGCUUAA
rnacentral:tRNA from 1 species